rnacentral:miRNA from 1 species
AGUGAUCGUCGCCCCCGCGAAGGCGGGGGCCGCUGGAGGUUUGCGCAGCGACGAAGGGCAAAGCCGACGGCGGCCCCCGCCUUCGCGGGGGCGGCGAGAGAU